UAUGCAUGCGUAUUCCCCCUAUGCAGCAGGCCCACCAGGAAACGGUUGUUUGGUUCGCUGUUUUUUCAUUCCCCGCCGAAUCGGUUACUCCCCCAUUACAUUGAUUGCGCGUAAUAGGCAUUACGACCCCUCAGCGCCGAUUACUCAUUCCGUGUCUUUCUCUUUUUUCUCUUCCGUUUUCUGCCCUCGUCCUCAACGCUGUCAAAAGUUUCCCCAAAGUAAUCGACGGAGUCCUCGACGUUGUCAAAAGCUUCCCCAAAGUCGAUCCUUCCAAGUUAUUGGUAGAUAUUAGAAGAAGAUGGUGCUGGUUUUGGCUUUGGGGGAUUUGCAUAUACCCCAUCGGGCGGCUGAUCUCCCUCCCAAAUUCAAGUCCAUGCUAGUUCCUGGAAUGAUCCAACACGUCUUUUGCACUGGUAAUCUUUGCAUCAAGGAAGUUCAAGAUUACUUGAAGACACUUUGUCCCGACUUGCAUAUUACCAGAGGUGAAUAUAAUGAAGAUACAAGAUAUCCCGAGACCAAAACAUUAACUAUCGGACAAUUCAAGUUGGGAUUGUGCCAUGCCAUGGCCAUCAGGUAUUAUUUUCUUCUUUCCGCUGGUAUAUAGUAUUGGACUCUGCAUUUUAAAUCAGUAAGUAGUUUGCCAUUGAUGCGGAUUAUAAAUUUAUAUUGAAGCAUGCAUCUCCUGCUGUGAAAAAUAUGUGAUUUCAUGCUAAUGGUGUUAAAUAAAUAUAAAAAUAAUCGUUCAUGCCUUACAUUUCAAGUUAAAAUAUGUUCUGUUUGGAAAACUUGUAGACAGAGAUCUUGCUCUCUUUUUCUAAAACUGCUAAAGGAUGCACGAAGGAUCUACAGUUUUAUGCAUUUGUAACUUGUGAUUCUUGCGGUAAGUAGCGCCUAAAAUUUGUUGGAAUCAUGUUGUGUUCAAGAACCAUACAAGCACAAAUGUAAUCCACUAAAUGCAUAAUUCCAAGUGGAGAGAAAUGUAACCUGCAAGACCUGCAUUCUACAAAUAUGUUGCCUUCAUGCUCAUCUUGAAUGCACUAGAACUGUUUGCUUUACCUAGAGCUUCUUCCUAAAGAUCAAUAUACCGAUAUUGCUGUGGGAACAUAUCCAAAAAUGUAGAAUGUGCUUUACCUAGAGCUUCUUCCUAAAGAUCAGUUAGUCCUUGAUUUUUUUUUCAGUAUGUACUAUGUGUUAUCAAGUAGAUUUGGAGUUUGAAUAUCUACAUCUAAAUUAUUUUCAUUUCCAAGCAGAGAUCUUUUCUGAUCAAUUUUCUUGUAACAAAAUAAAUAGUAUCAUUGUGUUUGUUAUUGUAGAAUUACAAGAGUCUUGUACUAAUAGAAUUUGAUGGAGUUUGAAUGGCUCACAGGUUUGAUGGAGUUUAUUUUUUAA